UACGAGGGGGGCAAGCGUUGUUCGGAAUUAUUGGGCGUAAAGGGCGCGUAGGCGGUUUGACAAGUCUGAUGUGAAAUCUCUGGGCUCAACCCAGAGUCUGCAUUAGAAACUGUCGGGCUUGAGUAUGGGAGAGGUGAGUGGAAAUUUCCGGUGUAGCGGUGAAAUGCGUAGAUAUCGGAAGGAACACCUGUGGCGAAAGCGGCUCACUGGACCA
rnacentral:rRNA from 1 species